GUGCCAGCAGCCGCGGUAAUACGUAGGUGGCAAGCGUUAUCCGGAAUUAUUGGGCGUAAAGCGCGCGUAGGCGGGUUUCUUAAGUCUGAUGUGAAAGCCCACGGCUCAACCGUGGAGGGUCAUUGGAAACUGGGAAACUUGAGUGCAGAAGAGGAGAGUGGAAUUCCAUGUGUAGCGGUGAAAUGCGCAGAGAUAUGGAGGAACACCAGUGGCGAAGGCGGCUCUCUGGUCUGUAACUGACGCUGAUGUGCGAAAGCGUGGGGAUCAAACAGGAUUAGAUACCCUGGUAGUCC
rnacentral:rRNA from 1 species